CUUUACUAUCCAAACCUUCUAAAGGUCAUUAGCUCUGAUUCUUUGGAAAAAAGAUUGAGAGCUAUACACAACAACGCUAAAGAUGGAGCAGCCUGCCAUGUCUUAGGGCAUACGCAUUUCUGUUGGGAUUAUGCGGUUGACAAUAUCAGGUACUAA
rnacentral:rRNA from 1 species